rnacentral:lncRNA from 1 species
UAAUUAAACCUUUCUCACAAGUGAUGCAUAAGGUCCAACUAAAUACGAAGUUAAGAUCUCUUGCUGAUCUUAAUAUGGUGGAGUCACCCAUUAGUUGGACUAGAUUCACAAUUUAGAGAUUAAAAAUAAGGCCCAAGGGAAGUACAAGUAAUUUAAAAUUUUAAUACAUGGAUGCUACAAAAAUCAGAUAGACAGAAAAAUGACAAUCUAUAGGGCAACCUAUUGUUUUCAACUUUAUCUUAUGGAGGUCAUCACGUCUCACAAGUAUAGGCUCAAUAACAAAAGAAAGUCAUGCCAGCUAUUAGUCUGACUUCACUUUCUAUAAAACAUCUAGAAAUUAAAAGUGCCAAAUACAACCAAGUUUUCUUAACAAAAAAGGUAGAUUGGAGAAUUUUCUAGUAUAUAUAAUUGAAUAUUUUAAUAUUCAAUUAUACUACGAGGUGAUAGAAUAGUUAAGAUAUUAUCUUUAAAUCAGUAAGUCUUGCCAUGCUCUUUCUUAAGUGUACCUAAACUUGAAAUAAAAAUGAAGAGCUAAGAUUUGAAACCUACCUAAUUUCGCCAAGCUAAGCUCUUUUCUUGCAUAUCUAAAAUUUCAAAUAAAAUUAAAGUUCAAGUUCGGAAUCCACUUAAUUUUGCCAAACCAUACUCUUUUUCUUCAAUCCACAAUGUGUGUUAGUAAGAUAAAAUUGAAAUUAAAUGAUUUUUGUUAAAAAUAUACUCAUCUUGGAUUAUGAUUUGAAUUUGUUGGUCUUCUCUUUUCUUCUUUUUUCUUGUUCUACAUUUCUUCUAUCUAAUUCUUCUAUCUAUUUCUUCUUCUUGAAUCUUUUUUUUUUUUGUUGAUGAAGAUUUUUUUUUAAUUCUUUCUAAGCUCCUUCUAUACUAUUCUUGUGAAUAAAAAGGAUAUGAGAGGUGAAAGGAGUGAUUAAAUCUCCAUAUCACUAGAAAAAGGCCCUCAACUGGAAAAUUUACAAAGAGAGGGAGUAAUGAAACCUCAAAGACGAGCUCCAACCUUAAUGCUUUGGAAGUGACAACCAACCUAAAGAAAACAACCAAAUAAUACUAACACUAAUACCAACUAAUCCAAUAUUACUUAAGAUUAGAAACAACAAUAUUGCAUAAAAAAUAGUUUAAUGAACAACUAAAAAUAUAUUAGACUUAAAUCAAUACAUAAAACUUAUAAUACAUCUAAUAAAAAGAAAAAUAAUAUCAAUAAAUAAAAAUAAUGGUAAAAAUUGAACAAUAAAAGUAAAGAUAAAAAGUAAGGAAAUGAAUAAAUAAAUCAAUUAAAAAUAAUAAUAAAUAAAAUCGAAUAAGGUAAAAUAAAAGAAAAUAAAAAAUAAGUGUGAAAAUAAAAUUUAAAAGUAAAAAUAAAUUAUCAAUUGAUUUUAGAUUUUAAUAAUUGAAUAAUUUAUUUAUUUUAAUGAUAGUAUUAUUAGUUAUUAUUAUUAUUAUAUUAUAUUAUAUUUUAAUUAUCUUAUUUAUUUAUAUUUUCUACUUAUUAUUAUUAUUAUUAUGAUUAUAAUUUAAUAUAGUUGAGAGAAUUUAAUUUUUUUUUUAAAAGAAUAACAAAAAAUCAAUAGUAUAAAUGAUUGAAAGAUAUAAAUCACUAACCUCAAUUGUAUUUGUUCAAAGUGGCAACCUCUCUCCACUCCAGAACUUGCCACACAUUAAAUAUUGAUUCAAAAGCAUUGAAUUUUUCACCACUAUAAAUUCAACUUUGAGAUGCUUGUACCCAGAAAUUUUCACUGUAAUGUACUUAUCCGGCACUUAGAAAUGCCUUUUCAAAGACAGGGUACACAAAACUGCCAAGGCAGUGAACCCUGUUGUGUUCGAAUAUUCACCACAAAUUCGUUAUAGCUCCAAAUUGAGCCUGUAAUAUCUUUUUAGAAAGCUAAUACAAAGAUACAUACACUGCCAAAGUUUCAACUUUAACUAUCAAACACCCAAAAACUGAUUGACAAAAAUCUGAGAACAAAUCAACAUUCUAUUCAAGAACAAAACUUUUAAUUAUCUUUUGAUUUUUAAAAAUUUGUAGGCCUUGUUUACACCAGCAAGGAGAGAGGUAGAAAACUUACAAAUAAUGAAGACUAAGUUGCAAUGCUCACACAUUAAGUCCAAGCAAGAUCAUUCACCAAAAGCGAACUUCACAUUCUCAUACACCAUUAGAAGCACCAUCUCCUGGCAAACGCACCAUUUAUGUGAGGGUAAAUUUCCCCCUCACCCCAAAUUACAAGAUGGCCUCAAUUAAGAGUUGCUUGUAGUUGGUGGUGUGAAGUAGAAGUAGCAAUAGAUAAGAACAAAAGAAGAACAACACAAGAUGUGAACUCAAAUAAACCUCUACUAGUUGAAAGUUUGUUGUAGUUCAUAAAAAGUGACUUGAUUAGGUGAAUUUAAAAGUAAGGCCAUUAUUCAAAUUUUAAUCCAAUCAUUAGUUGUUAUUGUUAAAACACCAAGUUAUUAAUCAAAAUCUUCCAAACAUUAUUCACAUUCACAAUGAUAAUUCACUCAUUAAACUUCGUGCAAAACAAUUCCUUCUUUUAAUUCUAAUUAUAUAAUUUAGUUUUAAAUAAUUAAAUUUCCUUAUUUUUCUUUUUUUACUAGGUUUAUUUAUUUAUUUAUUUAUUUAUUUUUAUUUUAUUUUUUUAAAUAUGUAAAUUAUCACUUCGUAAAUAAUUGGUGGUAAGAGUAAUUAAUUAAGUUAUUAUUAUUAAUCCAUAGUAAAGAUAAAAUCUUAAGUAAAAAUUAAAAGUUUAAAUUUUAAUAAAUUAAAAAUAAUAAAAUAAAGUUACCAAUUAGGUAAAAAGUAAAAAGUAAAAGUUAAAAGUAAUAAGUAAGAAUUAAAUUUCGAAGUUAACAUAUGAAAGUUACAAGUUACUGUAAAAAUAAAAGAGAAAAUAAAAACUAAGAGGGAUGAAGAAAAGGCACCUUGAUAAUGACCAAGAAUUUAUGGCAGCAACUCCCUUCUACUCCAAAAUUUGCCAACCAUUCGUAUCAGCUUCAAUUCUGAUGAUUUUUGCUUGGUUAAAAACCUAACUUGAAGACGCUCUUGCUCCAAGAAACUGUAUAGCAAUCCAAUACCUGAGGCAUGUGCAAUGCUCCUUCAAAGUUGAAUAACCGAGACCUCCACCGCAGCUUACCACCCUUCACUCCAAAAUGCACCAAAACUUUGGAUCUACUUCAAACGUAAUAAAACUUGUGCCAUAAGAAGCUAAACUUGUAUGUGCUCUUAUUCUUAAAAUUUCAGAAUGUUUUAAGUAAACGGCACUGAGAAAUGUCUUUCCAAAGACUGGUGAUCCAAACUGCCAAGGCAGUUGACCCCCUCACACUCAAAAAUUCACAAAAAAUUUGUUUUAGCUCCAAAUUGAGCAAGCCUAAGCUCGUCGGAAAGCUGAAAGUAAGAGGUAUGUGCUAAAGAAAAUUCACUACAAAAAUUAAAAGGACCAAAGACUGAUUGGGAAAAAUCCGAGGCCCUUCAAACCCACUUAACUAUAGAAGUAUUUGGAAACCACUAAUUCUAAGGGAGUGCCUUCUAAACCACAAUAAGCACCACCUUCAACAAAAAUCAAUGAUCACAUAUUCACAAGGUGCACAAUGAGCAUUAGGAUCCAAAAUGAAAUUGGCAUUAAGGUUUUAGGCCAAGAUUUGGCAUGGCUUCGCCCUUCAUCAAAAAAGAAAGAGAGAGAAG